GACGAACGCUGGCGGCGUGCUUAACACAUGCAAGUCGAACGGAAAGGCCCUGCUUUUGUGGGGUGCUCGAGUAGCGAACGGGUGAGUAACACGUGAGUAACCUGCCCUUGACUUUGGGAUAACUUCAGGAAACUGGGGCUAAUACCGGAUAGGAGCUCCUGCUGCAUGGUGGGGGUUGGAAAGUUUCGGCGGUUGGGGAUGGACUCGCGGCUUAUCAGCUUGUUGGUGGGGUAGUGGCUUACCAAGGCUUUGACGGGUAGCCGGCCUGAGAGGGUGACCGGCCACAUUGGGACUGAGAUACGGCCCAGACUCCUACGGGAGGCAGCAGUGGGGAAUAGUGCACAAUGGGCGGAAGCCUGAUGCAGCAACGCCGCGUGCGGGAUGACGGCCUUCGGGUUGUAAACCGCUUUCGCCUGUGACGAAGCGUGAGUGACGGUAAUGGGUAAAGAAGCACCGGCUAACUACGUG
rnacentral:rRNA from 1 species